GAUGAACGCUGGCGGCGUGCCUUAUACAUGCAAGUCGAGCGAACAGACGAGGAGCUUGCUCCUCUGACGUUAGCGGCGGACGGGUGAGUAACACGUGGAUAACCUACCUAUAAGACUGGGAUAACUUCGGGAAACCGGAGCUAAUACCGGAUAAUAUAUUGAACCGCAUGGUUCAAUAGUGAAAGACGGUUUUGCUGUCACUUAUAGAUGGAUCCGCGCCGCAUUAGCUAGUUGGUAAGGUAACGGCUUACCAAGGCAACGAUGCGUAGCCGACCUGAGAGGGUGAUCGGCCACACUGGAACUGAGACACGGUCCAGACUCCUACGGGAGGCAGCAGUAGGGAAUCUUCCGCAAAGGGCGAAAGCUUGACGGAGCAACGCCGCGUGAGUGAUGAAGGUCUUCGGAUCGUAAAACUCUGUUAUUAGGGAAGAACAAAUGUGUAAGUAACUAUGCACGUCUUGACGGUACCUAAUCAGAAAGCCACGGCUAACUACGUG
rnacentral:rRNA from 1 species